rnacentral:rRNA from 1 species
GGGGAUAGCCUUUCGAAAGGAAGAUUAAUACUCCAUAAUAUAUUGAACGGCAUCGUUUAAUAUUGAAAGCUCCGGCGGAUAGAGAUGGGCACGCGCAAGAUUAGCUAGUUGGUGAGGUAACGGCUCACCAAGGCGAUGAUCUUUAGGGGGCCUGAGAGGGUGAUCCCCCACACUGGUACUGAGACACGGACCAG